rnacentral:rRNA from 1 species
UACGUAGGGGGCAAGCGUUGUCCGGAUUUAUUGGGCGUAAAGAGCGUGUAGGCGGUUAGGUAGGUCCGUUGUGAAAACUCGAGGCUCAACCUCGAGACGCCGAUGGAAACCAUCUAACUAGAGUCCGGAAGAGGAGAGUGGAAUUCCUGGUGUAGCGGUGAAAUGCGUAGAUAUCAGGAGGAACACCGGUGGUGUAGACGGCUUUCUGGACCGUAACUGACGCUGAGACACGAAAGCGUGGGUAGCAAACAGG